GCCUGUCAACACUGAGGUUACGAGUGCGAACCCAACACGUUGCAGGUUCAUUCGACCACAAUCUUAAUUGAAUACGAAUGCCAGCGUUAAAUUUCCUGCCGAAAGUCGUUGGUUCACACGGUCAAGACGGCUUCCCCACCAAUAAAAACUGACCGCCACGAAAUAGCCAUUAGUGCUGAUCGUGGAGUUUAGACACUCACAAAAAUCAAUCAAUCCAAUGCUUAAGGUGGUACCUAACACUACAGGGAGAUAACUCUGUAAAAUCAGCUAAACGCUUUAAUUACGUUGUGUUGUUAAGGGAAUAUUAAGCUUCUCAGUGAUCAAAAUAAGUGUUUGUCAAACUGCUAUAUAACCAGUGUAUUUUUUCUGAUAAAACGGUUGGUUCAAAUUUUUUGAAAUUUUUAUAUUUUUGUAAAAGGGUCAAAGUAAAUACUUUGUCAAAAUUUUAAGAAAAGUAAACGAGCCAAAUUAAUUUUAGUUAAAGUGUUGGGUACCACCUUAAUACAAAGAAAUGU
rnacentral:lncRNA from 1 species